rnacentral:rRNA from 1 species
UUACCCUAGUAACGGCGAGUGAAGCGGUAAGAGCUCAAAUUUGAAAGCUGGCCCCUUCGGGGUCCGCAUUGUAAUUUGCAGAGGAUGCUUCGGGAGCGGUCCCCAUCUAAGUGCCCUGGAACGGGCCGUCAUAGAGGGUGAGAAUCCCGUAUGGGAUGGGGUGCCCGCGCCCGUGUGAAGCUCCUUCGACGAGUCGAGUUGUUUGGGAAUGCAGCUCUAAUUGGGUGGUAAAUUUCAUCUAAAGCUAAAUAUUGGCCGGAGACCGAUAGCGCACAAGUAGAGUGAUCGAAAGAUGAAAAGCACUUUGAAAAGAGAGUUAAACAGCACGUGAAAUUGUUGAAAGGGAAGCGCUUGCGAUCAGACUCGCUCGCGGGGUUCAGCCGGCCUUCGGGCCGGUGUACUUCCCCGCGGGCGGGCCAGCGUCGGUUUGGGCGGCCGGUCAAAGGCCCCUGGAAUGUAACGCCUCUCGGGGCGUCUUAUAGCCAGGGGUGCCAUGCGGCCUGCCCGGACCGAGGAACGCGCUUCGGCUCGGACGCUGGCAUAAUGGUCGUAAGCGACCCGUCUUGAAACACGGACCAAGGAGUCUAACAUCUACGCGAGUGUUCGGGUGUCAAACCCGUGCGCGCAGUGAAAGCGAACGGAGGUGGGAACCCCUCGGGGUGCACCAUCGACCGAUCCUGAUGUCUUCGGAUGGAUUUGAGUAAGAGCGUAGCUGUUGGGACCCGAAAGAUGGUGAACUAUGCCUGAAUAGGGCGAAGCCAGAGGAAACUCUGGUGGAGGCUCGCAGCGGUUCUGACGUGCAAAUCGAUCGUCAAAUUUGGGUAUAGGGGCGAAAGACUAAUCGA